rnacentral:rRNA from 1 species
UACAGAGGGGGCAAGCGUUGUUCGGAAUUACUGGGCGUAAAGGGCGCGUAGGCGGCCUGCUAAGUCGAACGUGAAAUCCUUGGGCUCAACCCAGGAACUGCGUCCGAUACUGGUUGGCUUGAAUCCGGGAGAGGGACGUGGAAUUCCAGGUGUAGCGGUGAAAUGCGUAGAUAUCUGGAGGAACACCGGUGGCGAAGGCGACGUCCUGGACCGGUAUUGACGCUGAGGCGCGAAAGCCAGGGGAGCAAACGGG